CACUGCUCGACUGGUACCUUCUUUUCUCAGAAUGAGAGCUGGAAAAAACAGUUGUCAGCCAAUGACCCACCGUCAGUAUGGACUGGUCUGAGGAACAUCAGUACAAGUACAAUACACCACGUUAGCUGAUGCCAGGAAACACCUGAUACAUCUCAUGCCAGUCAAGGCUCCACACACGGAGGACUUGAGCAGUCGAUUGAGGGGUUUACCUUAGUGUGAGGCAGCGGAAGCAAAUCCUUUACCGUCAGAAUGGGGUUACUAUAGAACCACUAUACUAUGUUUUUCUGUUGUGGGGUACCAUAGGAACAUGGCGGCCUCCUUGGAAGGUGACCAUAUUUAGAUAAAAACUGCCCAUUCUAAAGUAAUUAAUUCACAAUUCUUAUAUUCAGGAACGUGUGUAUCUCCUAAAUGUUACACACUGGACCAUUGAGUGACCUGUUUGUCAUUCUAAAUGAAAAAUUUCACUUCAAUUACAGCACGCUUCGCCACCACCUUCGAAGGAAGCUGGCAGAAGACAAAAAGCUCCUUCAGGAGAUAGAGAAAUACAAUGGUCAUGUACUAGACUCUGUCACAAACAUUGAUAUGGCUGUGGUGGAGCUUUGCCUAACUGUAGAGAGCACUGGGUCUCAAAUAUGGUGGAGGGGUGGUCGGUCAGUGGCUUGUCAGUUCUCAGAUGUUUCAGAAGAAUUUAUUUACGAUUCAGCAAUAUAGAGUACAAUAAAGACAUGGAUGUAACA